ACGAGUUUUAACUGUUAGGUUAGAGUUGAGCUGGUUAAUCUAAUUAAUAUGUGCUUACUCUAAUCGAAACAAGUCCACUCAUUAUUUAACCACUUGUGAAUAAGGGGACUCGUCUCUGCAUUUUACGUGUCAUUCAUAAUAGAUGCUGUUUAUUGUAAGCAAA
rnacentral:misc_RNA from 1 species